UUCCGUAGGUGAACCUGCGGAAGGAUCAUUAUCGAGAGGGGGGCUUCGCGCUCCCGGGGGUCUCGGCCCUCAACUCUUCACCCUUUGCGUACCUACCUUUGUUGCUUUGGCGGACCCGAGGAUUGUCUCGCGCUGACUCUGGGGUCGGCGAGUGUCCGUCAGAGGCCCGUUUUAUCCUAUCGAUCAGUGAAGUCCGAGUCAAAAACACAACGAAUAAAAACUUUCAACAACGGAUCUCUUGGUUCCAGCAUCGAUGAAGAACGCAGCGAAAUGCGAUAAGUAAUGUGAAUUGCAGAAUCCAGUGAACCAUCGAAUCUUUGAACGCACAUUGCGCCCCUCGGCAUUCCGGGGGGCAUGCCUGUCCGAGCGUCAUUGCACCCCUCAAGCGGAGCUUGGUAUUGGGAUCUCGCCCCCGCGGCGUGCCCGAAAAACAGCGGCGGCCCGGCGUGACUUCAAGCGUAGUAAUAUCAUCCCGCUCUGAAGCUCUCGUCGCGGUCGGCCAGAGAACCCAUUAGCUUCUAUAAUUGACCUCGGAUCAGGUAAGGAUACCCGCUGAACUUAA
rnacentral:rRNA from 1 species